UACGUAGGGUGCAAGCGUUGUCCGGAUUUAUUGGGCGUAAAGAGCGUGUAGGCGGUUUGGUAGGUCCGUUGUGAAAACUCGAGGCUCAACCUCGAGACGCCGAUGGAAACCAUCAGACUAGAGUCCGGAAGAGGAGAGUGGAAUUCCUGGUGUAGCGGUGAAAUGCGCAGAUAUCAGGAAGAACACCCGUGGCUAAGGCGGCUCUCUAGUACGGUACUGACGCUGAGGAGCGAAAGCGUGGGGAGCGAACAGG
rnacentral:rRNA from 1 species